rnacentral:rRNA from 1 species
CAGUCGCCGCGGGAAUACGAAGGGUGCAAGCGUUAAUCGGAAUUACUGGGCGUAAGGCGUGCGUAGGCGGUGAGUUAAGUCUGCUGUGAAAUCCCCGGGCUCAACCUGGGAAUGGCAGUGGAUACUGGCUCGCUAGAGUGUGUCAGAGGAUGGUGGAAUUCCCGGUGUAGCGGUGAAAUGCGUAGAGAUCGGGAGGAACAUCAGUGGCGAAGGCGGCCAUCUGGGACAACACUGACGCUGAGGCACGAAAGCGUGGGGAGCAAACAGGAUUAGAUACCCCGGUAGUCCCUGUCUCUUAUAC